rnacentral:rRNA from 1 species
AUUGAACGCUGGCGGCAGGCCUAACACAUGCAAGUCGAACGAGUGGCGGACGGGUGAGUAAUGUCUGGGAAACUGCCCGAUGGAGGGGGAUAACUACUGGAAACGGUAGCUAAUACCGCAUACCAUCGGAUGUGCCCAGAUGGGAUUAGCUAGUUGGUGGGGAAACGGCUCACCUAGGCGACGAUCCCUAGCUGGUCGGAGAGGAUGACCAGCCAAACUGGAACGGAGACACGGUCCAGACCCCACCGGGGGGCAGCAGUGGGAAAUAUUGGACAAUGGGGGAAAGCCGAAUGCGGCAAGGCCGCGUGUAUGAAGAGGGCCUCCGGGUUGAAAGGUACUUUCAGCGAGGAGGCGGUACUCGCAGAGGAAGCACCGGCUAACUCCGUGCCAGCAGCCGCGGUAAUAC